rnacentral:lncRNA from 1 species
AGCAGCCAGGCCUUCCCUUCUCGCUGCUUGGCAGGGCGGACCUGGCCUUGUGCCAGCUGCAGCACGUGGAGCCACAGCGCCAAUCCUCUGACAGAGAACCCGGCCUGUUAUCUAACUUUGCAAAGGGAAGUUCUCCCCCAGUCUGGGAGCCAUAACCAGGGCUGCCAGAUGAGAACGGUGAGCAGAGCUCCACGCCCACAGCAAGUGCACUGUGAUUCCCCAGGACAUUGACUGUGGAUGAGUGAAGUCACACACUCCCAUGUCCUCAGCAUUCCAAGAGUGGAGUCAGAGAGGUCAGACUUAGGCAGAGAUGGCAGGCUGCAGAAUUUAGAACAAGCCAGAAACUGAUUCUGAGGCUCAGCUUCAAACUGAACACAGUAAGCUCCAUCAGGCUUGCUUCUGCAGCUCAGACACCCUGGGGUGGAUGAUAAGCUCUUGGUUUUGUGUCCUGUGCCUGAUCUCACAGAGAUCCAUGGCUGCUUUCCCAAAUCACAUCUUACACAGAGCUGGAAAUGUUCCCCAAUGUCUGCUGCCCCAGGUCUUUAGUGUAUUCUUUAAUUACCGUAUUUCCCUCCUGAGUGAUCCUCCCCAGAUUAAUGAAAUUACAUAUUAUAUAUUACAUAACCCACAGCUCCAGAACUCAUUCUGGAACCAGGCAGGCACUGAACUUGUGGCCUCUCAAAUGGCCAGGGUGAGGUUUGUAGGACCAGGCUGGGCCAGGCUUCCUUUUUUUUCCCUCUCCCAAUACAAGAAAAGGGCCUUGUGCAUGCUGGGCAAGGUCCCUUGUUGUUGUUGUCAUUUUUAAAGGCUAUGAUAGUUAUGGAUAUGUGUGUAUAUAAUAUAUUACACAUACACACAAAUACAUAUAUGUAUAUAUUUUAAUUGUGUCUAGAGAGUUGGCUCAGCAGUUAAGAGUACUUCUUGUUCUUGCAGAAGACCCAGGUUUAGUUUCCAGUAGCUACAUGGUAGAUACCUACCUGGCUAGCUCACAACCACUCUUACUACAUUUCCAUUUCUAGGUGAUCCAACUCGCUUUCAUGGUCCCUGCAGGCACCAGGCACACACAUAGUGCACAUACACACAUGCAGGCAAACACUCAUACACAUGAAAAUAAAAUCUAUUUUUAAUAAUU